rnacentral:rRNA from 1 species
AUGAUUGAAAAAGUUGUUGCUUCCAUUACCAAUACAAGUGUUCAAAUAAUAACAAAAACUGAUCCCGCUGAUACAGGCAGAGACAAAAACAGAGGUUUAUUUGCUCGGUUUCAGAGAGGGGGGCGAAGUUUAUCACUAAUCAACAAUAUUAUUGGAGGCUUGUCCAUGCCUACGCUAACAACAAGCCCUGAUGCAGUUGUAACAGCAGAAGCGGUUGACCUAAUCCAACAGCCUGUUCCAUCGGUAAAAGCUGAGCACACCGGAGAUAGGGUCCUAUUUGAACCACCAAUGGCAGGAACUGCUCCAGUUGGAAUUCUGCCAGGACAUGUGCACAAUGACGUGUCGACAGGGCACGAUCCUACUCCACGAGUGGCUGACACUGACGAUGCUUACGCGUUACGCCUACAAGCUGAAGAAUAUGUUGUUGAUAUUACAUCUACAGUAGCUAACGCGGGGGGAUUGGAACAAAAUGCCAAUGUACUUUCAGAACAAAUAGGAUCUCCAAUUCGUAAGUGUGGUGCUGAUAUCUUUCCUGAACAGUGA